GUGGGGAAUCUUGCGCAAUGGGCGAAAGCCUGACGCAGCCAUGCCGCGUGUAUGAUGAAGGUCUUAGGAUUGUAAAAUUCUUUCACCGGGGACGAUAAUGACGGUACCCGGAGAAGAAGCUCCGGCUAACUUCGUGCCAGCAGCCGCGGUAAUACGAAGGGGGCUAGCGUUGCUCGGAAUUACUGGGCGUAAAGGGCGCGUAGGCGGACAGCUUAGUCAGAGGUGAAAGCCCAGGGCUCAACCUUGGAAUUGCCUUUGAUACUGGCUGUCUUGAGUUUGGGAGAGGUGAGUGGAACUCCGAGUGUAGAGGUGAAAUUCGUAGAUAUUCGGAAGAACACCAGUGGCGGAGGCGACUCACUGGCCCAAUACUGACGCUGAGGCGCGAAAGCGUGGGGAGCAAACAGGAUUAGAUACCCGAGUAGUCC
rnacentral:rRNA from 1 species